AUGGCAAGCUGAAAGUUUGGCCUGUGUCUUCCAGAAGUUUAUACUUUGGAACUUUAAUUACCAAUAUAACAGUCAUGAAAGAUGGACCUUAUGAGGUGAUUUGGUUACAGAGGUGGGGCCCAAAGGAAUGGACCAACACUAUUGCUGCAGAAGCAAGCCAGCUCUCAGAGUGAAUUGUUCUAGGGUAUUCAAAGAAAUGGCCACUGAGGAGCAGCAGGAAUGGCUCAGUAAUUACCACAAAAGCCUGGUGAGUUUAGAUCCCAAGAAGCCACAGGAAAAUUGGGUGCACACACAUCUGUGAUCAUCGUGUUCCUGGAUGGAAAUCAUCUAAAGGCCUGAUUCCAGAGGAAACGACAUAGCGAACGCCAUCUGGUCAACCUUGCACUUCACAGUGCUCUGGAACGCUAAGGUGGAAGACUGUAAGGAAGAGCUGGGCUGAGGACGUUCAUUAGGCUACUACCCCUCCACAAGCCAUGUGCCUGACUCUGGUUAAUGUCAAGGUAUCUGAGCAGUGCAGUUAGGUAUUUUGCCCCUGCUCUUUAAAACACAUUUAAGGAACUAUGUAGGCCUUCAAAGGCAAUGAAGCAAAGGUCAUCAAAUUGUUCUGACUCAGAUGGCUCUACUACUAAAAACCUCCCCCUUCAGGGCCUCAGUGCGUGAGGUCUGCAGUUUGAAAUAUACAUAUAUACAUACAUACAUACAUACACACAUACACACACACACAUAUAUAUACAUAUACAUACA